rnacentral:rRNA from 1 species
GAUGAACGCUGGCGGCGUGCCUAAUACAUGCAAGUCGAACGAGUUCUCGUUGAUGAUUGGUGCUUGCACCGAGAUUCAACAUGGAACGAGUGGCGGACGGGUGAGUAACACGUGGGUAACCUGCCCUUAAGUGGGGGAUAACAUUUGGAAACAGAUGCUAAUACCGCAUAGAUCCAAGAACCGCAUGGUUCUUGGCUGAAAGAUGGCGUAAGCUAUCGCUUUUGGAUGGACCCGCGGCGUAUUAGCUAGUUGGUGAGGUAAUGGCUCACCAAGGCGAUGAUACGUAGCCGAACUGAGAGGUUGAUCGGCCACAUUGGGACUGAGACACGGCCCAAACUCCUACGGGAGGCAGCAGUAGGGAAUCUUCCACAAUGGACGCAAGUCUGAUGGAGCAACGCCGCGUGAGUGAAGAAGGCUUUCGGGUCGUAAAACUCUGUUGUUGGAGAAGAAUGGUCGGCAGAGUAACUGUUGUCGGCGUGACGGUAUCCAACCAGAAAGCCACGGCUAACUACGUGCCAGCAGCCGCGGUAAUACGUAGGUGGCAAGCGUUAUCCGGAUUUAUUGGGCGUAAAGCGAGCGCAGGCGGUUUUUUAAGUCUGAUGUGAAAGCCCUCGGCUUAACCGAGGAAGCGCAUCGGAAACUGGGAAACUUGAGUGCAGAAGAGGACAGUGGAACUCCGUGUAGCGGUGAAAUGCGUAGAUAUAUGGAAGAACACCAGUGGCGAAGGCGGCUGUCUGGUCUGUAACUGACGCUGAGGCUCGAAAGCAUGGGUAGCGAACAGGAUUAGAUACCCUGGUAGUCCAUGCCGUAAACGAUGAAUGCUAGGUGUUGGAGGGUUUCCGCCCUUCAGUGCCGCAGCUAACGCAUUAAGCAUUCCGCCUGGGGAGUACGACCGCAAGGUUGAAACUCAAAGGAAUUGACGGGGGCCCGCACAAGCGGUGGAGCAUGUGGUUUAAUUCGAAGCAACGCGAAGAACCUUACCAGGUCUUGACAUCUUUUGAUCACCUGAGAGAUCAGGUUUCCCCUUCGGGGGCAAAAUGACAGGUGGUGCAUGGUUGUCGUCAGCUCGUGUCGUGAGAUGUUGGGUUAAGUCCCGCAACGAGCGCAACCCUUAUGACUAGUUGCCAGCAUUUAGUUGGGUACUCUAGUAAGACUGCCGGUGACAAACCGGAGGAAGGUGGGGAUGACGUCAAAUCAUCAUGCCCCUUAUGACCUGGGCUACACACGUGCUACAAUGGAUGGUACAACGAGUUGCGAGACCGCGAGGUCAAGCUAAUCUCUUAAAGCCAUUCUCAGUUCGGACUGUAGGCUGCAACUCGCCUACACGAAGUCGGAAUCGCUAGUAAUCGCGGAUCAGCACGCCGCGGUGAAUACGUUCCCGGGCCUUGUACACACCGCCCGUCACACCAUGAGAGUUUGUAACACCCGAAGCCGGUGGCGUAACCCUUUUAGGGAGCGAGCCGUCUAAGGUGGGACAAAUGAUUAGGGUG